AUUGAACGCUGGCGGAAUGCUUUACACAUGCAAGUCGAACGGCAGCACGGGGGCAACCCUGGUGGCGAGUGGCGAACGGGUGAGUAAUACAUCGGAACGUGCCCAGUCGUGGGGGAUAACGUACGCGAAAGCGUAGCUAAUACCGCAUACGAUCUACGGAUGAAAGCGGGGGAUCGCAAGACCUCGCGCGAUUGGAGCGGCCGAUGGCAGAUUAGGUAGUUGGGUGGGGAAAGCUCACCAAGCCGACGAUCUGUAGCUGGUCUGAGAGGACGACCAGCCACACUGGAACUGAGACACGGUCCAGACUCCUACGGGAGGCAGCAGUGGGGAAUUUUGGACAAUGGGCGCAAGCCUGAUCCAGCCAUUCCGCGUGCAGGA
rnacentral:rRNA from 1 species